AUGUAUGUGUGGAAGUGCAUGUGUGUAGAUGUGUAUAUUUCACACACUUGAAGAAUUAACUUCCAAGCUACAGAUUAAUUCAAGAAACA
ensembl:miRNA